UGCAGUCGAGCGGAACGAGUUAUCUGAACCUUCGGGGAACGAUAACGGCGUCGAGCGGCGGACGGGUGAGUAAUGCCUAGGAAAUUGCCCUGAUGUGGGGGAUAACCAUUGGAAACGAUGGCUAAUACCGCAUAAUGCCUACGGGCCAAAGAGGGGGACCUUCGGGCCUCUCGCGUCAGGAUAUGCCUAGGUGGGAUUAGCUAGUUGGUGAGGUAAGGGCUCACCAAGGCGACGAUCCCUAGCUGGUCUGAGAGGAUGAUCAGCCACACUGGAACUGAGACACGGUCCAGACUCCUACGGGAGGCAGCAGUGGGGAAUAUUGCACAAUGGGCGCAAGCCUGAUGCAGCCAUGCCGCGUGUGUGAAGAAGGCCUUCGGGUUGUAAAGCACUUUCAGUCGUGAGGAAGGUAGUGUAGUUAAUAGCUGCAUUAUUUGACGUUAGCGACAGAAGAAGCACCGGCUAACUCCGUGCCAGCAGCCGCGGUAAUACGGAGGGGUGCGAGCGUUAAUCGGAAUUACUGGGCGUAAAGCGCAUGCAGGUGGUUUUGUUAAGUCAGAUGUGAAAGCCCGGGGCUCAAUCUCGGAAUUGCAUUUGAAACUGGCAGACUAGAGUACUGUAGAGGGGGGGUAGAAUUUCACGUGUAGCGGUGAAAUGCGUAGAGAUCUGAAGGAAUACCGGUGGGCGAAAGCCGGCCCCCUGGACAGAUACUGACACUCAGAUGCGAAA
rnacentral:rRNA from 1 species